rnacentral:rRNA from 1 species
GAUGAACGCUGGCGGCGUGCCUAAUACAUGCAAGUCGAGCGAACAGAUGAGAAGCUUGCUUCUCUGAUGUUAGCGGCGGACGGGUGAGUAACACGUGGGUAACCUACCUAUAAGACUGGGAUAACUCCGGGAAACCGGGGCUAAUACCGGAUAAUAUUUUGAACCGCAUGGUUCAAUAGCGAAAGACGGUUUCGGCUGUCACUUAUAGAUGGACCCGCGCCGUAUUAGCUAGUUGGUAAGGUAAUGGCUUACCAAGGCGACGAUACGUAGCCGACCUGAGAGGGUGAUCGGCCACACUGGAACUGAGACGCGGUCCAGACUCCUACGGGAGGCAGCAGUAGGGAAUCUUCCGCGAUGGGCGAAAGCCUGACGGAGCAACGCCGCGUGAGUGAUGAAGGUCUUCGGAUCGUAAAACUCUGUUGUUAGGGAAGAACAAAUUUGUUAGUAACUGAACAAGUCUUGACGGUACCUAACCAGAAAGCCACGGCUAACUACGUGCCAGCCGCCGCAGUAA